UUAAGUCCCGCAACGAGCGCAACCCUUGUCUUAUGUUGCCAGCACGUGAUGGUGGGGACUCGUAAGAGACUGCCGGGGUCAACUCGGAGGAAGGUGGGGACGACGGUCAAGUCAUCAUGCCCCUUAUGUCCAGGGCUUCGACACAUGCUACAAUGGCCAGUACAGAGGGCUGCGAGACCGUGAGGUGGAGCGAAUCCCUUAAAGCUGGUCUCAGUUCGGAUCGGGGUCUGCAACUCGACCCCGUGAAGUCGGAGUCGCUAGUAAUCGCAGAUCAGCAACGCUGCGGUGAAUACGUUCCCGGGCCUU
rnacentral:rRNA from 1 species